ACAAUUACACAGAAUAGUAAAUAAACAAGGGAAUUAAUACAAAGAUAAAUAAAUAAAGACGCAAAAUAAAACAAAAAUAUAAAUUUAUGUCACAUUUUACCAAUUAAUUAAUGGCUACAUUUAUGUGUAUUAUUAUUUUUGCUCCAUUUAAUGACAUAUUUAUUAAUUCAUUUAUCAAGUCAUUUAUUUUUGAUUUUGGCAUGUUCCAUCCUCCAUACACUUAAACCUUUCAAUGUUUUCUGUGAAAGUAUUUUGGUGUUUUUGCAUUCUGAGCACGGCAAGCUGAGAAAAUCCCAACUGAACUAUCAACUAAAACAAUGGUCAGUUUAAUAUUACGACGACAACAAACAUAGCGUUUGGAGGAACAUUAAUGCGGCGCUUUGAGCUACAGGAAAGGUUGCAGAUCUGCCAGCGACACACUAUCAGCUUUCUUAAUAGAUUAGGCGGUGUGGACUGAUAAACCUGUAGAAACACAACUGACAGACGAGUGACAGGUAUCUAAAAACACUCCAGAAAUAAACCGUGUGCGUUGAUCAUCAUAGUUGUGUGAAAACACAAUCGCACUAACACACUACACAGAAUCUUUGGUUUCAUGUAGAAAGCUCAUUCCUGGGAUUCCUGUAUGACUGGCUGGAUGACUGGACAGUUUAGACAACCUGAGGCCCCACUGUCUAUUGUACUGCUUUAAGAGAGAGAGAGAGAGAGAGAGUGUGUGUGUGUGUGUGCAUCUGAUUAUGUUUCAGUAGCACAUAGAGAUAAAGCUGAACUGUCCUCUGUCUCUAGUCCUUCCCUCUCUGCAGCAGAGCAUCAAACUACAACAAGCUCAGUGGCCAAAAUACUGUAGCUUCUCGUUCCUGUUACCAACCACAUUUGACAUAUCUUUACACACCAAGUUACUUCUUCUUAACAGGUUAAAAUCUGGAAUCUUCUAACGUUAAAACAUGUUAAUCAAUUAUAUUAUGUCAUUACAAUGAUACUUUCCCCAUCUAAGUGGCAGCAAUGGUCCAUGUUAAGUCAUUUUAGUCAUUUACUCAUGUUCACGAAGGUCUGCAUGGACCGUCCACAUGUAGCCAUAACUUCAUGACCAUACGGGCUGAACACGCCAACAGACAUUGGUGAAUAAGGGGCCGUACACAUGUCACGUCUAAAAACGCGUGGAAAACGCAAGCUGUGCCGUUUUUUUUUUUCCUUUCCAAUAUGCUUGGGGGGGUUGCACUCUUGUUGCGCCUGCCGCAACCAACCAGCGUGCUGCGAUGACGAUGAUGAUGAAGUUGCGGUAAUUUAGCAGUAAGCCUCACUGACUAAACUGAACACAAUAAUCCGUAAAUCCCUCGCAGUAGCUUUACUGCUCGAUUUCCCUGUGUCAGUUUGGCUCACCUUUCAACUGGAUGUUGUGAUCUCCUCGGCCAGAAAGGGUGAAGCAAGUAAAAUAGUUUGUGGGACCGAUUGUAAAGCUCUGGAUAGUCCUGCACUAAUAUUAUUAACUUCUCCUCCAUAUACUGUGAUUGGUUGUUCCUUGUCACAUGACAUGCUGUGCGUGCUGCAGCAUUCCAAAAGUUGAACUAUUUUUAUCUUGGGGCGCACCCAUCGCGCACUGAAAAAUAGGCGCUUGGGAGCGCUUGCGUGCCGCCGCGACAUGGCUCUCGCGUUUGAGUGCACCUGUUGCAGGUCUACAUUGACAACAAUGGAUUUGAGCGUGCAAAAGACGCGGCAUAUGUACCGUCUCUAACACAUUUGCCUAUGCUGACAAUCGAUGCAGAAUGUCUGCGUCGGAUUAUAUCCAGUCCUUGAUGUUUCCAAUGCCAUUGGCUGGCACUACAGGUGAAAAUAUUUUUUGUGUGUGAACGCCAGUUGACAAUGAUUCUCUGCAUCAGAUGAAGUGAGUAGAAAGGCUGAGAGACAAAGAGGUGGAGGGAGAGACACUGCUGAUGAACUCACAAGGACACAGGAGACGGCAGCACAGAGGACACAUCCUUCAUGUCCUUUGAGAAACCAUAGAAUGGCACCGGGGAGAAGACGGAUCUGAACCAAGCAAAGCAGCAACAUCUGGAGAGCGUCCAGAGAUUUAAUAAUCCUGUUUACAGCCUGAAGCUCAUUCUGUUCUUCUCUGCAGCAGAGUCCUGAUCCACACUGAUCAUAAGCCAAAUACACUGAAACGGACCUGCGGCAGCCUCUUUGUGUGUGUCUGUGGAGGGGGACACAUCAGACACUGGUGGUACACAGUCCCCAGGUGUGAAUGCGCAUGAGGACCAGUCAGAUAAAAGCCUCCAUUAUUACAGCAGAUGAAGGAAAACACAGAUUUUAGAGCACUGUCCCUUUAAUGUUUGUGCUUUUCAUGACACUAUUGUGUCCAGUAGGGGUUUUCUAUAGUAGGGGAGGUAGUCACGCUGCAGUCAUGCCAAGUAGUUUAUCUCAAUAACAUGAUGAAGGCGUGUUAGUCACAAACCACAGAAAGAGCUUGUUGCCUGCAGUCCUUUCCAGCUCACUGUGGCUGCUACUGUUUCUAUUAUUCCUUCCUGCAAUAUUUAAAACUCACCCACUGACCAAAUAGUAGGGAUGGGAAAAAAGGAUUACUGAAUUGAUUUUUUUUAAUGCCAGAAUCGAUAUAUUUGCUUCAUUUGCGUCUAUGUGGAGCUAGAAGGAAGUUAACACUUUUCUUGUUGUAGUCUGAGUAACGUGACGACAUAUCCUUUAUUGUGGUAUUC